rnacentral:lncRNA from 1 species
GGAGCCAGCAGGGAGCCUAGCCUGGGGUGAGUUCCAGCCAUCUGGAGAAGAGGGCAGUGACCCUGGAGGUGACAGAGAAGUGGGAGUUUGCCAGGUAGAGAAGGGCAGGAAGAGGAUUCCAUGCUAGAGCCACCUGGAGGAGCAACUGUGCAAAGUUCUGCCGGGGUGCUUUAGGUACAGCUUCUUACAGCUGGCAGAAAAUUCUCAAACUACAGGAAGUGGAGAGAACAGUACAGUGACCCUACACGCUUGUUACCAGCCUCACCUGUCACCCACAUGGAGUCCUUCCCAUUCGUGGGGUUUCCAGGAUUUGCUGAGCACCUACUAUGCAUCAGACGUUGUGUUCUAGGCAAGGGGGAUACACCUGAUGGAAGAAGGUGCUUCCCUAGACGUAGCUAACAUCCCAGUGUGGGACAUGACAAGAAACAAGUAUGGUGGAAAUGAUGUCACGCCCACUCCAGGCCUAACCUCUAGGAGGACUGGCAGUUUCCGCUAUGGCCUCUGGGAGACAUGAGCUGCCAUGAAAAAGGUCAAACUACUCUGCUGGAGACACCCACCUGGAGAAGCCCUGGGAUUCCAUGGAGAGGCAGACGGACCCAGCCGAGCUCAGUGUUCCAGCCAUCCCCACGAAAGCACCAGGAACCUGAGUGAAACCAUCUCGAUCCUCCAGCAUAGCACAAUCAGCAGCUGAAGAUCACUGAGUGACUCUAGUCGGCGCUCCAUGGAUCACUGAAGGAUCACCCAGCUGAGACCUGCGCAAAUUUCUGACUCACAAAACUGUAGACAAUACAAUGGUUGUUGUU